UUACGAGCUUUGAACGGGUUGUUGCUGGCCUUCCGAGGCAUGUGCACGCCCUGCUCAUCCACUCUACACCUGUGCACUUACUGUAGGUUGGCGUGGGUUUCUGGCCUCCGGGUUGGAAGCAUUCUGCCGGCCUAUGUACACUACAAACUCUUAAAGUAUCAGAAUGUAAACGCGUCUAACGCAUCUUAAUACAACUUUCAGCAACGGAUCUCUUGGCUCUCGCAUCGAUGAAGAACGCAGCGAAAUGCGAUAAGUAAUGUGAAUUGCAGAAUUCAGUGAAUCAUCGAAUCUUUGAACGCACCUUGCGCUCCUUGGUAUUCCGAGGAGCAUGCCUGUUUGAGUGUCAUGAAAUUCUCAACCCAUAAAUCCUUGUGAUCUAUGGGCUUGGAUUUGGAGGCUUGCUGGCCCUAGCGGUCGGCUCCUCUUGAAUGCAUUAGCUUGAUUCCGUGCGGAUCGGCUCUCAGUGUGAUAAUUGUCUACGCUGUGACCGUGAAGCGUUUUGGCAAGCUUCUAACCGUCCAUUAGGACAAUUUUAUAACAUCUGACCUCAAAUCAGGUAGGACUACCCGCUGAACUUAAGCAUAUCAUAA
rnacentral:rRNA from 1 species